rnacentral:rRNA from 1 species
GUAGCGGCGAGCGAAACGGGAAAAGCCCAAACCAACAAGCUUGCUUGUUGGGGUUGUAGGACUCCGAUAUGGUAGUCUAUUCAGAUAGUCGAAAUACUUGGAAGAGUAUGUCAAAGAGGGUAAAAACCCCGUAGGCGAAAUUUGGAUAACACCUAGGAGGAUCCUGAGUACGGCGGAACACGAGGAAUUCCGUCGGAAUCCGGGAGGACCUUCUCCCAAGGCUAAAUACUCCCUAGUGACCGAUAGUGAACCAGUACCGUGAGGGAAAGGUGAAAAGCACCCCGGAAGGGGAGUGAAAUAGAUCCUGAAACCGUGUGCCUACAACAAGUUAGAGCCCGUUAAUGGGUGAUAGCGUGCCUUUCGUAGAAUGAACCGGCGAGUUACGAUAGCAUGCGAGGUUAAGUUGAAGAGACGGAGCCGUAGCGAAAGCGAGUCUGAAUAGGGCGAAUGAGUAUGUUGUCGUAGACCCGAAACCAUGUGAUCUACCCAUGUCCAGGUUGAAGGUGCGGUAAAACGCACUGGAGGACCGAACCCACGUACGUUGAAAAGUGCGGGGAUGAGGUGUGGGUAGCGGAGAAACUCCAAACGAACUUGGAGAUAGC